rnacentral:snRNA from 1 species
GUCCUAGCUUUGGUAGUACAUAUACUGAAAUUGGCAUGAUACAGAGAAGAUUACCAUGGCCCCUGCUCAAGGAUUGCACACAAAUUCAUGAAGUGUACCAUAUUUUU